UUACGCUGGCGGCGUGCAUAACACAUGCAAGUCGAACGAUGAAACUUAAAUGAAUUCUUCGGAAUGAUUUUAAUUGGAUUAGUGGCGAACGGGUGAGUAACGCGUGAGUAACCUGCCUUACACAAGGGGAUAGCCUCUGGAAACGGAGAAUAAUACCCUAUGAAACUAUCUUAUCGCAUGAAAAGAUAGUCAAAGUGUUUUAGCGGUGUAAGAUGGACUUGCGUCUGAUUAGCUAGUUGGUGAGAUAACAGCCCACCAAGGCAACGAUCAGUAGCCGGCUUGAGAGAGUGUACGGCCACAUUGGGACUGAGACACGGCCCAGACUCCUACGGGAGGCAGCAGUGGGGAAUUUUGCACAAUGGGGGCAACCCUGAUGCAGCGACGCCGCGUGAUUUAGAAGGCCUUCGGGUUGUAAAAAUCUUUUGUAUAGGAAGAAAAUGAUAGUACUAUACGAAUAAGGUCCGGCUAAUUACGUGCUGGCAGCCGCGGUAAUACGUAAGGACCGAGCGUUGUCCGGAAUCAUUGGGCGUAAAGGGUACGUAGGCGGUUAGAAAGGUUAGAAGUGAAAGGCUAUAGCUCAACUAUAGUAAGCUUUUAAAACUGUUUAACUUGAGAGAUGGAAGGGAAAGUGGAAUUCCUAGUGUAGCGGUGAAAUGCGCAGAUAUUAGGAGGAAUACCGGUGGCGAAGGCGACUUUCUGACCAUUAUCUGACGCUGAGGUACGAAAGCGUGGGUAG
rnacentral:rRNA from 2 species